GCUAAAAUGGCAGAAUAAAGUGCGUUAGAGUUAAGUUCUAAAUAUAAAAUAAUUUUUUUUUAGCU
rnacentral:tRNA from 1 species